rnacentral:rRNA from 1 species
UACAGAGGUGGCAAGCGUUGUUCGGAAUUACUGGGCGUAAAGGGCGCGUAGGCGGCCUUCUAAGUCAGACGUGAAAUCCCCCGGCUUAACCUGGGAACUGCGUCUGAUACUGGAAGGCUUGAGUGCGGGAGAGGGAUGUGGAAUUCCAGGUGUAGCGGUGAAAUGCGUAGAGAUGUGGAGGAACACCGAUGGCGAAGGCAGCCUUCUGGGCCAACACUGACGCUCAUGCACGAAAGCGUGGGGAGCAAACAGG